UAACCAUGCUGAGGACAUUAAUGGAUGAGAUCUUUAAACUACUCUCACGCCUCAUAAAGAGGCUCAAAAUCCAAUUAUCUGAAUUGUGUAAUUUCGCUCCUCAGCUG
rfam:Morus notabilis contig25689, whole genome shotgun sequence.